rnacentral:rRNA from 1 species
UACGAAGGGGGCUAGCGUUGUUCGGAAUUACUGGGCGUAAAGGGCGCGUAGGCGGUGUGUCAAGUCAGGCGUGAAAGCCCCGGGCUCAACCUGGGAACAGCGCUCGAGACUGGCACGCUCGAGUUCAGGAGAGGAUGGUGGAAUUCCCAGUGUAGAGGUGAAAUUCGUAGAUAUUGGGAAGAACACCGAUGGCGAAGGCAGCCAUCUGGGCCGACACUGACGCUGAGGCGCGAAAGCGUGGGGAGCGAACAGG